UCUGACAGCUUACUGCUCACGGGAGAAGUGAAGACAGCCUGCAGCUCCUCUAGCUGCAGGCUGUCUUCACUUCUCCUGUGAGCAGAAUGCUGUCUGAGCA
rnacentral:miRNA from 1 species